rnacentral:rRNA from 1 species
CAGAACGAACGCUGGCGGUAUGCCUAACACAUGCAAGUCGAACGAGACCUUCGGGUCUAGUGGCGCACGGGUGCGUAACGCGUGGGAAUCUACCUUGGGUUCGGAAUAACGUAGCGAAAGUUACGCUAAUACCGCAUACGAUCUAAGGAUGAAAGCAGGGGACCGCAAGGCCUUGUGCUCCUGGAGCGGCCGAUAUCUGAUUAGCUAGUUGGUGAGGUAAAGGCUCACCAAGGCAACGAUCAGUAGCUGGUCUGAGAGGACGACCAGCCACACUGGAACUGAGACACGGUCCAGACUCCUACGGGAGGCAGCAGUGGGAAUUUUGGACAAUGGGCGCAAGCCUGAUCCAGCAAUGCCGCGUGAGUGAAGAAGGCCUUCGGGUUGUAAAGCUCUUUUGUCAGGGAAGAAAAGGUCGUGGCUAAUAUCCACGACUGCUGACGGUACCUGAAGAAUAAGCACCGGCUAACUACGUG